rnacentral:lncRNA from 1 species
CAGCCAAUUUCAGGUACUGUUUUCUCUCUUUACAUAUGGAUACUACCUCUUCUUCAUCUUCUAACUUGGAUGCAACACACCCCAUUUCUCCUCCCUACUCAGCUUUGCAAAAAAUAGGAUAUUCUUGAAAAAAAGGUGCUUUCUUGGAGGGAUGUGUGGGGGGUGAAAAGGGGUUAAAGUAAGUUCCUUUUUUGUUUAUUUUGGAACAGAGAUUCUACUGUAGAGAGAAACAAGAAGUCGAAAAAUGUCCCUUUUAAGAAUGGUUUCAGAACAACCCAUUGAAACAUAGAAAGAGGUUUUUAGGUAAAAAAGCAAGUAUUGGGAAUACCCACUUGGCCUUAACCAGCAGAGCCAUAGCCAUUUCCCCUGCAAACAAAGAAAAUUUCUCAAACAACAAAACAAGAAAAAGAGAGAGGAAAUAAAAUAUAAAAAAUAACUGUGUCAGUGAAAGAGGAUGUUUUUUUCCUCUUUCUUUUUUUUUCUUCCAAGAGAAAAAAUGCUGUAGGAGAGAUUUCAGAUAGAGAGAGAGAGAAAAAUAAAUCAAAAGGUGAGUUAAGAAGAGAUGGUAGGGGCUCGAGGUAAGGGAAGAGCGAUGAGGGUAUUCUUGUGUUUGGCAAAAAAUAAUUAAAAUGUUAUAUACCAAGGUAAAGAAUAUUUAUAUUCAAUUUUAGAAUACGUACUUAUGAUAUUUAUAAUCUGAUUAUAUAAAUAUUUUUGACUGUAUGGUCAAAAGUACAUUUAAACUAUUCAAGCUUUUCGAAUUUCAUAUGUGAACUACAGUAUCAUUCAUGUACAAAACUCACAUAUUGAGUAUUCCAUUUUUGUAAAAUUAAAAUUUGUAUAAAAUAUUGUACUUUUGCAUUUAAAUUGUGGGUGAAGUCCGUCACAAGUUGUGGCAGUUUAGAAUCUAAAUGAGCUUCUUUCUUUCUCACUGCCAUAAUUUAGCAGAGAUUUUUGGUUUUUUUGGGGAGAAGAGACAGAAGAGAGUCAGUGACUCAGUGAGGGAAUAGAGGAGUCAAACUUUGGUCAAACCUCAAAAAAGGGUAAUAUAGUCUAUUCACUCUUCCAGGUAAAGAGCUAAUCUUGCAAUUAUUUGAAGAUAAUGACUAUUUUUUCCACUUGUCAGCUUCUUAGCUAGGGAUUAAUUACUAGCUUCCCUUAAUUCUUAUGCACUGUCAUUCUCAGUAAAAAGAAAAUGACAAUUUUAUCCUCAACUUUGACGGCCUUCUUUCAACUACUGUAGCAUUACUUUUUGGUAACUUUAUUUAUUUCGAUUUUGGAGUUUGUUUUUAGCUUCUUUUUUUGUAUUUAUUUAUUUUACUUGUCGUUUUUAUGGAGUAAUGUCUUGCAAUUGGGAAUAGUGCAUUAUAAAACAGUCUAAAAUAUUAGCGGG